rnacentral:rRNA from 1 species
GUGGGGAAUAUUGGACAAUGGGGGGAACCCUGAUCCAGCCAUGCCGCGUGUGUGAAGAAGGCCUUUUGGUUGUAAAGCACUUUAAGCGAGGAGGAGGCUACUCUAGUUAAUACCUGGGGAUAGUGGACGUUACUCGCAGAAUAAGCACCGGCUAACUCUGUGCCAGCAGCCGCGGUAAUACAGAGGGUGCGAGCGUUAAUCGGAUUUACUGGGCGUAAAGCGUGCGUAGGCGGCUUUUUAAGUCGGAUGUGAAAUCCCUGAGCUUAACUUAGGAAUUGCAUUCGAUACUGGGAAGCUAGAGUAUGGGAGAGGAUGGUAGAAUUCCAGGUGUAGCGGUGAAAUGCGUAGAGAUCUGGAGGAAUACCGAUGGCGAAGGCAGCCAUCUGGCCUAAUACUGACGCUGAGGUACGAAAGCAUGGGGAGCAAACAGGAUUAGAUACCCUAGUAGUCC